rnacentral:rRNA from 1 species
GAUGAACGCUGGCGGCGCGCCUAACACAUGCAAGUCGAACGGAGCACCUUCGGGUGCUUAGUGGCGAACGGGUGAGUAACGCGUGAGAAACCUGCCUUUCAGCGGGGGACAACAGUUGGAAACGACUGCUAAUACCGCAUAAUGUUAUUUGAGGGCAUCCUCGAAUAACCAAAGCUUUAUGUGCUGAAAGAUGGUCUCGCGUCUGAUUAGCUAGAUGGCGGGGUAACGGCCCACCAUGGCGACGAUCAGUAGCCGGUCUGAGAGGAUGAACGGCCACAUUGGGACUGAGAUACGGCCCAGACUCCUUCGGGAGGCAGCAGUGGGGAAUAGUGGGCAAUGGGGGAAACCCUGACCCAGCAACGCCGCGUGAAGGAAGAAGGCCUUCGGGUUGUAAACUUCUUUUACCAGGGACGAAGAACGUGACGGUACCUGGAGAAAAAGCAACGGCUAACUACGUGCCAGCCGCCGCCGUAACAC